rnacentral:rRNA from 1 species
AGUGAACGCUGGCGGUAGGCCUAACGCAUGCAAGUCGAACGGCAGCACAGUAAGAGCUUGCUCUUACGGGUGGCGAGUGGCGGACGGGUGAGGAAUACAUCGGAAUCUACUUUUUCGUGGGGGAUAACGUAGGGAAACUUACGCUAAUACCGCAUACGACCUACGGGUGAAAGCAGGGGAUCUUCGGACCUUGCGCGAUUGAAUGAGCCGAUGUCGGAUUAGCUAGUUGGCGGGGUAAAGGCCCACCAAGGCGACGAUCCGUAGCUGGUCUGAGAGGAUGAUCAGCCACGCUGGAACUGAGACACGGUCCAGACUCCUACGGGAGGCAGCAGUGGGGAAUAUUGGACAAUGGGCGCAAGCCUGAUCCAGCCAUACCGCGUGGGUGAAGAAGGCCUUCGGGUUGUAAAGCCCUUUUGUUGGGAAAGAAAAGCAGCAGGUUAAUACCCCGCUGUUCUGACGGUACCCAAAGAAUAGGCACCGGCUAACUUCGUG